AAAGCCUNACUAGCUAUAUGCACGUAGUCGUAACUGAAAGGUUGAUCGACCACAGUGGGCCUGAAUAAAGCCCAUGACGAUUGUCACAGCAGUGAGGAAUAUUGGUCAAUAGCCUAACGGCUGAACCAGCAACUUGGAGGAAUGUAUAGCAAUAGCUACUUGCAUCUUCGUAUACAUGAUGCAAGAUCGACUCUGUCGAAUAAAAUUCUAGGUAGAAUUAUGAUAAUGACAUUGUCUGCCUAUGUGUCUUGACCAAAUUACGUGCCAGCAGUCGCGGUAAUACGUAGAAGACUAGUGUUAUUCAUGUUUAAUCGGUUUAAAGGGUACCUAGACGGUAAAUCAAGCCUACAAAUAAAAGAAAUGAAGGGACUAAUUUGCUAGAGUUACUUAUGAGGGGGUAUUAAAGUACUGCUGGUGUAGAGAUGAAAUUCUGUCAUACCUCUUUUCAAUAGAAAAAUAAUGGCACAGGUAUAGGCGAAAGCAUCCCCUUAUGUGAUAACUGACGUUGAGGGACGAAGGCUUUGUGUAGCGAACAGGAUUAGAUACCCCAGUAGUCAAAGCAGAAAAUGAUGAAUGUCAUAGAUUAGAUAUAUAAGUUUAUUCUAUAAAUGAAAGUGUAAGCAUUCCACCUCAAGAGUAAUUUGGCAACAUUGGAACUGAAAUCAUUAGACCGUUUCUGAAACCAGUAGUGAAGUAUGUUGUUUAAUUUGAUGAUCCGCAAAAAACCUUACCACAAUUUGNAUAUUUAUAUCUUUUAUUGUUUUUUUUUAUUUUUCUUCUUAUGACUUUUAUCCAUGAUUUUCUACUCAGUGAAGAAAAGGGAAGAAUNCAAGAAAUAAGAAG
rnacentral:rRNA from 1 species